rnacentral:rRNA from 1 species
AGUGAACGCUGGCGGCAGGCCUUACACAUGCAAGUCGAACGGCAGCACAGUAAGAGUUUGCUCUUACGGGUGGCGAGUGGCGGACGGGUGAAGUAUACCUCGGCAUCUCCUUUUUCGUGGGGGAUCACGUCGGGAAACUUACGCUUAUACCGUAUACUACCUACGGGUGAAAGCAGGAGCUCUUCGUACCUUUCGCGCUUGUAUGAGCGGAUGUCGGAUUAGCGAGGUGUCGGGGUAAAGGCCCACACAGGCGAAGAUCCGUAGCGGGUCUGAGAGGAUGAUGCGCCACACUGGGAGUGAGACACGGCCCAGACGCCUACGGGAGGCAGCAGUGGGGAAGUGUGGAAAAGGGGGGCAACCCGGAGACAGCCAUGCCGAGUGUAUGAAGAAGGCCUUAGGGUUGUAAAGUACGUUUGGUAGGGAAGAAAAGGCAGAUGGGAAUAAUGGCUGAUACUGACGGUACCUAAAGAAUAAGCACCGGCUAACUACGUG